GACGUCACCAGCAAACGCAUAAUUCUCAAUCGCACUUUCCAAAUCAUGUGGGCGGAGAUUGGAUGAGUAGUGUGCACCAUCGGAUUACUAUACUAUGACUGAGUCAUAUAUUAAUGGAAAUUGUUUUCUUUGUAAUGAUAAUGAUGGUAGUCAGUCAAGAUUGAUCUGUUAGACGAAUACUCAGCCAUCAGCCUCGUGGCCAAUCAAUCGCUAGUGCAUUUUGUUUUACCUACCAGAAUAUUAGAAUAGCAAAUGGAUUCUUCGUCUCAAUGCCAUGGUUUUAAUAAGCAUAAGGAGCCUGGACUUGAACUCCCCUACCAUUGGAAUUGCAUCCAUGGGCAUUUAUAUCCAUUUAAUGAUUUUUGGUUAGAAUUCCAUUUUAAUGCGCAAUAACUUUUUAUUUAGUCCUCCCUUAUGCCAUGGGCUUUGUUAGUCAAGACUCGAGGCAGCGCAUUUCUAGAAACUAUAGAAAUAUAUAUUUGAUUUUGAAUUCUAUAGAAAUUUGCUUCUAAAUCAGACUGAGAAAGUCAAAUUCUUUGUUUGCAUUUCGUUCAGAAUAGAGUUUUCUCUUUUUCCAUUUUUUCUUUUUUAAGGCGGACUGGACCAACUCGCAGCUCGUAGCAGAAAAAUUGUUGAUUCGAUUCUUGCAUAAGCAAGUCCACCAAUAGUCAUAGGUUUUUGAUCCAAAACCUAGGUCGAAGAAGAAGACGAGACUGAAUUCUGAACUAAGAUUGAGGACCCGAGAAUGAAUAUACAUAUAUCUAUAUCUAUAUAUC
rnacentral:lncRNA from 1 species